CGAAAGCUGGGGUAGCGAAACAGAUUAGAUACCUGUGUAGUCCUAGCUGUAAACGAUGUCCGCUAGCUCUCACGUAAGUGGGGGUGUAAGCUAACGCGUUAAGCGGACCGCCUGGGGAGUACGGUCGCAAGACUAAAACUCAAAGGAAUUGACGGGGACCCGCACAACCGGUGGAGCGUGUGGUUCAAUUCGAGACAAAACGAAGAACCUCACCAAGGUUUGACAUAAUACCGUUUAUUUCCCAAGAAACUGGGAGAAAUCCGCAAGGAUGGUAUUACAGGUGCUGCAUGGCUGUCGUCAGCUCGUGCCGUGAGGUGUUCCCUUAAGUGGGGAAACGAGCGCAACCCCCGUGUAAUGUUAAAUAUUCAUUGCAGACGGUCCCGAUUUUAUCGGGAAGGAAGGAGGGGAAGACGUCAAGUCAGCACGGCCCUUACACCUUGGGCUACACACACACUACAAUGGCGAAUAACAGCGAGUUGCAAGUACGCAAGUGCAAGCUAAUCUCUAAAAUUUCGCCUCAGUUCAGAUUGGGGUCUGCAACCCGACCCCAUGAAGUCGGAAUCGGUAGUAAUCGUGGAUCAGCAUGCCACGGUGAAUACGUUCUCGGGUCUUGUACACACCGCCCGUCAAGGCAGCAAAGUCGGGGGUGGACGAACUGCGGUUUUACCGUAGGAGUCCAAAUCCGGCGAUGAGGCUUAAGUCGUAACAAGGUAGCCGUA
rnacentral:rRNA from 1 species